CGGGGAGGUAGUGACGAAAAAUAACGAUACGGGACUCAUCCGAGGCCCCGUAAUCGGAAUGAGUACACUUUAAAUCCUUUAACGAGGACCAAUUGGAGGGCAAGUCUGGUGCCAGCAGCCGCGGUAAUUCCAGCUCCAAUAGCGUAUAUUAAAGUUGUUGCGGUUAAAAAGCUCGUAGUUGAAUCUGUGUGUCACAGUGUCGGUUCAUCGCUCGCGGUGUUUAACUGGCAUUAUGUGGUACGUCCUACCGGUGGGCUUAGCUCCUCGCGGGCGGUCCAACUAAUAUCCCAUCGCGGUGCUCUUCGCUGAGUGUCGAGGUGGGCCGGUACGUUUACUUUGAACAAAUUAGAGUGCUCAAAGCAGGCUACCUUCGCCUGAAUACUCUGUGCAUGGAAUAAUGGAAUAGGACCUCGGUUCUAUUUUGUUGGUUUUCGGAACCCCGAGGUAAUGAUUAAUAGGGACAGAUGGGGGCAUUCGUAUUGCGACGUUAGAGGUGAAAUUCUUGGAUCGUCGCAAGACGGACAGAAGCGAAAGCAUUUGCCAAAAAUGUUUUCAUUAAUCAAGAACGAAAGUUAGAGGUUCGAAGGCGAUCAGAUACCGCCCUAGUUCUAACCAUAAACGAUGCCAGCUAGCGAUCCGCCGAAGUUCCUCCGAUGACUCGGCGGGCAGCUUCCGGGAAACCAAAGCUUUUGGGUUCCGGGGGAAGUAUGGUUGCAAAGCUGAAACUUAAAGGAAUUGACGGAAGGGCACCACCAGGAGUGGAGCCUGCGGCUUAAUUUGACUC
rnacentral:rRNA from 1 species